AUGAAAAGCAAUAGAGCUCCGGGCCCGGAUAAUAUACCGGCUGAGUUCUAUAUGCAUUGCUAGGAAUUUGUGAAAAAUGAUAUCAUGCGCUUGUUUGAGGCCUUUCAUGCAAAUAAACUUCAUAUAGCUCGCCUAAAUUACGGGACAAUAACCUUGAUACCAAAGAUGAAAGGGGCUAGCAAGAUCCAGCAAUAUCACCCCAUCUGCCUAUUCAGAUGCCCCUAUAAACUGAUUACCAAAGUUAUGGAUAAUCGGGUGGCAAUUUAUGCUGAUAAACUGAUUAGCAGGCAUCAGAAUGCAUUUAUCAAGCAGAGGAACAUUAUGGAUGGAAUCCUAUCCCUACAUGAAAUUUUGCAUCAUACCCAUCAAAAAAAGAGAGUUGGUGUGGUUUUGAAACUAGACUUCGAGAAAGCCUGCGACAAAAUCAACUGGGAUUUCCUACUGACUUGUCACCGGGAUCGGGGAUUUAGUCCCAUCUGGUGUGGUUGGGUGAAAAAAAUAUUGCAUAAUGGUACAGUAAGUGUUAAGUUGAACAAUGAAAAAGGCCCAUAUUUCCAAAGUCACAAAGGGGUACGGUAA
rnacentral:rRNA from 1 species